CCUACGGGUGGCUGCAGUGAGGAAUAUUGGUCAAUGGGCGCGAGCCUGAACCAGCCAAGUAGCGUGAAGGAUGACUGCCCUACGGGUUGUAAACUUCUUUUAAGAGGGAAGAGCAGAAGACGGUACCUCUUGAAUAAGCCACGGCUAACUACGGGCCAGCAGCCGCGGUAAUACGGAGGUGCAAGGGUUGUCCGGAUUUACUGGGUGGAAAGGGCGGGCCGCCGGGAAGAACAGUCAGAUGUGAAAUCCCGGGGCCGAACCCCGGAACUGCAUUUGAAACUGUUUUUCUUGAGUACCGAAGAGGUCAUCGGAAUUCCUUGUGGAGCGGUGAAAGGAGUAGAUAUAAGGAAGAACACCAGUGGCGAAGGCGGAUGACUGGACGGCAACUGACGGUGAGGCGCGAAAGCGUGGGGAGCAAACAGGAUCAGAUACCCCAGUAGUC
rnacentral:rRNA from 1 species